UUUUUCGCUUUUUAGAGAGGGAGAGAGAUGACUUGGGCAGGGAGAGAGAAACGCGCAGUCACAAGAGUUGCGUCGCGAGCAUUGAAGAGGAGAGGAGUGUGUGGGGGGCCAGUAUGAACUAUAAACAGGUCUGCAUCUCUUAGGCUCCAUCUUCUCAAUGGCAUAGGUUGGUUUUCUCUCGUAUCUUCUUCUACCUCUUUUAUUCUUCCAUAUUCAGCCAUGGCUUCAUACAAUAGCAAAUCAGUUAGCAACAAUGAUGUAAGGUUUAAAAAUAAAAUAAGUAGGUGUGGAAAAAAUGUGUUCUGAAAAUCAGUGAGACAAAGAGAAAUUCAAAUAGAUUUUUUUAUCGAUGUCCAUAUAAAGCUAAAGAAUGCGACUACUUUGGUUGGUGGAACGAAGAACAAUGGAAUGAAGGUGAUAAUGAUGAAGAAGAUUGGGAGAGUGAAGAGACUUCAAGCCCAGAAAGUAUACAAAGCUUAAAAAGCAAAAUAGCUAUUGGAAAGUUUUUGAUAAAGAGUUUAUGUGUCUUUGGUAUGUUUAUGAUGGUUUUGGUUAUGUUUAUAAUAUGCAAGAUUUGAAUAAGAUUUUAGCUCCAAAUUUGUUGCAAAA